AUUGAACGCUGGCGGCAUGCCUUACACAUGCAAGUCGAACGGCAGCACGGGAGCAAUCCUGGUGGCGAGUGGCGAACGGGUGAGUAAUACAUCGGAACGUGCCCAAUCGUGGGGGAUAACGCAGCGAAAGCUGUGCUAAUACCGCAUACGAUCUACGGAUGAAAGCACGGGAUCGCAAGACCUUGCUCGAAUGGAGCGGGCCGAUGGCAGAUUAGGUAGUUGGUGAGGGCAAGGAUUCCCCAUUCAGCCUAUCUCUCUCUGGUUUGACCGGGGCUACCUGGCACCCCUGGGUACCGGGGCCCUGGCCCCUAACCUUUUUCGGGAAUAACCCCCUUUGGGAAUUUUAAAAAGGGCGUUUUCGAUUCCCUCGAAACACCCCUUUACAACCCCGAAGGGACCUUCGUCUUUCGGGGUGGGAAGGGGUUUUGUCUGGGGUUUCUCCCCCGUCUUUUUUAAAUUUACCAUGGGCUUACUAACGGGAAGC
rnacentral:rRNA from 1 species